rnacentral:misc_RNA from 1 species
GAAAGAAACUUGGAUAAGGUAUCAAAAUAGUCUUCUUGGCCAAACUCUCACAUGUGGAUUAGAGCAGUGGUAAAUAAGUGCAGGGUUGGCAUUGCACUGCGCUGCAAAAACUCUUUCGCAAGUAUAUUUGUUCAUCUCAGUUCAACAUGCAACAAAUAUAAAUGCCAAAGAGUUUUUAUAGCACUGCACUUAUUUACCAAUGAAAUUACCAUUUUAGGCACAAUUUUCCUACAUUCAAAUCCAUUACACUUUACCUGCGUCCAGGCUAAAAAAUUGCAGUCUUUUAUUAUUUAUGUGAUCAAUUUUAAUAAUAUAUUUAAUUUUUGCCAUCCAAAUAAAGUAAAAGGCGAAUGCCCCCUGGCAACACAAACAUAUUAUGCUGCAUAUUUACCAUGAAAAC